rnacentral:rRNA from 1 species
UACGGGGGGAGCAAGCGUUGUUCGGAUUUACUGGGCGUAAAGGGCGCGUAGGCGGCCACCGCAAGUCGACUGUGAAAUCUCCGGGCUUAACCCGGAAAGGUCAGCCGAUACUGCGGGGCUAGAGUGCAGAAGGGGCAACUGGAAUUCUCGGUGUAGCGGUGAAAUGCGUAGAUAUCGAGAGGAACACCUGCGGCGAAGGCGGGUUGCUGGGCUGACACUGACGCUGAGGCGCGAAAGUGUGGGGAGCGAACAGG